AUCUAUAGCCAUUCCACCCUGAACACACCUGAUCUUGUCUGACCUUGGAAGCAAGGCAGGGUCAGGUACUAGAGUGGGAUUUUGAUU
rnacentral:rRNA from 1 species